UUUUGGGCUUAGUUGGCCGUGGAGCACAUGAAAACUCCAUAGUUAAGUGUGCUCAAGUGGGAGUAGUACUAGGAUGGGUGACUUCUUGGGAAGUCUCCAUCGGGGCGACAA
rfam:Helianthus annuus linkage group 11, whole genome shotgun sequence.